CAGGUCUUUACCCAAGCAUGUGGUGCUUCCAUGUGUUUAAUUAAAAGCAAAUGAAGGCCCAACCGUAAGGGGUCCCACAGAUUGCAGCCAUAUGCUUCCCGCGCCGUGUCAUAUUCAAGGUAGCGGAUGGUGGCAAGAUAAUCCUUGAGAUGCUUCCAGUUGUCACACGUGUACUGUCAGCCAAGCUGUGGACAGUAAAUUAGAUCCAUGAGCUCUGAAGGUCCAAUUCUCAAUUCACAAAGAGUUGAGAGUGAGGGGAAAUUCUCAAAAUGUCAGGAGGAGGAGGUUUUAUCAAUGAUAAAAAGCUGUUUUUCCUCCCAAGAGACAUGGUUCUCUCCAGUCGAUAUACAGUAACUUAUGUAUAAGUACUUAUACCCACCUAGUACUUAUUCGAUGAACGAGUGACACAGUGCUGAUAUUUGGAGUCCUUUAUCAACAUUGCCCAAGCUAGAGACAGUUUUAUAUUUAUCAUCAAGUACAAUGUUCAGGAUGAGACACUGCUCUAGUGUACAAGGCCCAGGACGACUCAUUUUAAAAAGUUCAAAUCAGCCUUUUUACUGCUUUUUCUUUUAACAUUUUAAUAUAAUACAUUUUUAUAUCCAUUUUUUUCUAAUACACUUUUGUUCAUUUUUUUCCUGCCAAUGUUCAUCGUCCGUUGAAUCACAUUGACAGCACUGCGGUUCAUUAAGGCCGGACAGAGUAUGCAGUGUCUGCAGAACAGACAGACAUCCUUUCAUUAACCCCGAGAUUUUGUGAGGUCGAGGAAGAAGAUGGAAGAAGAAGAUGAGUUAGCCAUGGAAAAAGAAUCACAUAUUUACUAUUUUGUCCACUUGUGUGCCCUACAUCACAGUCACUAUGUAUUACGGUACCAUAGUUUCAGAAAUCCUAAUUAAAAAACAAGCUACAAAAUAUAGAAACAAGUUUUUAUCUAUAGACUAUAUUAGCUCUGCCUGUACAUCAAAAUCCAAUUCAGUUAGAACGUUUAGCAGUUUAAUUAACAGCCACACAUGUUAGGUGCCUGUGUGUCUCUGUGUAUGUCUGCGUGUGUUACGGCCCACAUGCACAUCCGUCAUGAGUUAAAGCCGUUUAAGUUGUUUUAGGAGACUCUAAAAGCCAUCAUUACAGGUCCUUAAGAGCAGAUCGGCUGCAAAUUACAGCUGCGCUCUGAGCAAACUAAAAUAGUCUGAUUCAAUUAUUUACAAAUGAAGAAUGCCAAUGGGGUGUUAACGCACACACACACACACACACACACACACACACACAAUGGGCUGGUGAAUAGGAGACGCGUGACAGGACUGACUGAGGCCUUAGCAGCAGUCUUCCCUCCUUCUGCCUCAUCAUGUGUGUUCAAUUACUGUGGCAAGAAUACUCCAGAACAUUGUCAGUUCAUCCCAAAAUAAAGAUAUUACAGUGUACUACUAAUUAAAUCUUUUUUUAGAAUUCAUUAUAAUUAUUAGGGAGCCUUUUUCUCUUCCCUUUGGUGUGACAUCCCCAUGUUCUGACGCUAUAACUGAAUAGCCAUUCGGGCAGUCUUAACUUAUUUUUUAAGUUAAGACUGCCCAACCUAUAUUUUUUGCCGACCUGCACAGCAGACGCAAAGCGUAGUUAUCGCCAACCAGUUUUCAGGUUUAUUUACAUUCAAGCAGCUCCUAACUGUCUGAAAAAAGAAAUGGUAGUUAAGCAGUCAAGCAGUGUUAGACUAUUAGACCUUGACUAAACCUGCUAAUCUGGCAAUAAAUUCUCACACGCUUAAGUGUGACCUUUGCCCUCCCACUGGCCUCAACUGUGACCGGUCAACACUUCGUACGCCACUCGGCUUCACCCUUUAGACUAAUCGUGUUUCAAUAGACAUGACUUUUUCGAAAGGCAAUUUAUACUGUACAUAAGAAUUAGAAAACACACUGUGCACCAUUAAUCAGAGGUUACAAUACGUCUCAUUGGGGCCCUCAUUAGGCCUGAUUGAUGUCUUCCAUUCACACUGAGAGAAAUAGUAACAAUUCAUUUCCAGUGUUGGUUCAGCCUCAUCUGACACAUUGCGCGGCGAAAUGCUGCCAGGUUUGUGUUAAUCCCCGGCGCCAAUGGCCCGAGGGGCACCUCGCCAUAAGUGGAGAAUGGCAUGCUGGGUAUCUCAAUGCUGCGUUGCCAAAAGGCUCUGUCUGGUUCAUGAUAUCAGCCGGCUUCACCCCUCCUCUCUGUGACUCAUUAACAAGCUCAGGAUCCAGGAGGGAUCCCAUCUGUGUGCCACCUGUACAAAAUCAUCACCGAUUACAACAUUUAAUGCAGGACACCAUUCCCAUUUGUUCCUAAGUUUUCUUCAAUAAUAUCAAUUAAAUAUCUAUUCCCU
ensembl:lncRNA